rnacentral:rRNA from 1 species
UACGGAGGGUGCAAGCGUUAUCCGGAUUCACUGGGUUUAAAGGGUGCGUAGGAGGGCAGGUAAGUCCGUGGUGAAAUCUCUGAGCUUAACUCAGAAACUGCCAUGGAUACUAUUUGUCUUGAAUAUUGUGGAGGUAAGCGGAAUAUGUCAUGUAGCGGUGAAAUGCUUAGAUAUGACAUAGAACACCAAUUGCGAAGGCAGCUUACUACACAGUUAUUGACGCUGAGGCACGAAAGCGUGGGGAUCAAACAGG